GUGACACAGGUUACUGGGAUCUGGAUGGGACUCACAAGCAGGAGACAGAAUUGGCCUGGAAGUCACUCUCAGAGAUUUGUCACAAAGGAGCUUAUAAUUCACUAUCUAUGCCAGUGAAUGGGUGUUGGUCUGAGGUUCAUCUAACUGAACAAGAUGCUCAGAGGAAAACUUCCAGACAUGAGAAAUUGCUGGAUGUGCUGGAUGUCUCUGAGAAGCUGAGAGAUGAUAGUGGCUGGACUUCACAGGUUGCUAAAGAGAAGGUAUAUGAGAUGGCCAGAUUUGACAAAAAACUGAAGGGGAACAGAAUCUUCAAAGGAUGAGCAACACCUGGAAAACUGGCACAGUGAUAUGUUGCAGGACCAAGAUUAUCCAGGUGCAGCUCUGCAAAGCAAUCAACGCAUAGGAAGAAAACAACCUGAAGUAUAUGGGAAUCUGAAAACAACACUGGUAAAAUAAUAAUGA